GGGGUUGUGGCUCAGUGGUAGAGCACUCACCUAGCAUGUGCGAGGCUCUGGGUUCAAUCCUCAGCACCACA
rnacentral:tRNA from 1 species